AUCCAGAUGACGAGUCCCAAAUAGGACGAAACGCACACUGGAU
rnacentral:hammerhead_ribozyme from 1 species